rnacentral:rRNA from 1 species
GACGAACGCUGGCGGCGUGCUUAACACAUGCAAGUCGAACGGAAAGGCCCUGCUUGCAGGGUCCUCGAGUGGCGAACGGGUGAGUAACACGUGGGUGAUCUGCCCUGCACUUCGGGAUAAGCCUGGGAAACUGGGUCUAAUACCGGAUAGGAGCCAUUUUUAGUGUGAUGGUUGGAAAGUUUUUUCGGUGUAGGAUGAGCUCGCGGCCUAUCAGCUUGUUGGUGGGGUAAUGGCCUACCAAGGCGGCGACGGGUAGCCGGCCUGAGAGGGUGGACGGCCACAUUGGGACUGAGAUACGGCCCAGACGCCGACGGGAGGCAGCAGUGGGGAAGAUUGCACAAUGGGCGCAAGCCUGAUGCAGCGACGCCGCGUGGGGGAUGACGGCCUUCGGGUUGUAAACUCCUUUCGCUAGGGACGAAGCUUUUUGUGACGGUACCUAGAGAAGAAGCACCGGCUAACUACGUG